AUGUGUCUUGACCAAACAAAGGACUAUACAACAAAAAAAUAGAACCACAGCCAUCUACUUCAAAGCAGAGUGAUAACAUUUCGUUUACAAUAAAGCAUACUGGAGGUGGAAAACCAGAAUACAUUCCACCAGAUGAAGCGCUGGAUAAAGUAGCAGCCAUUUUAGGUUCGACCUGUGAAGGUUAUAGCGUUCCGUUUGGUGGUGAUGCUGUGGUCGAGGAGGUGGAAGAAAUGGUGCAGGAAGCAGUGGUUGUGGAUGUACCAUAUAUAGAGAACGCUCCACCAGUUAUUGCUUCGCCUGCUUUGUCCCCGCACACCCCAAAGUCCAAAAAGUUUUUUUUUUGCAUCCACCAUUAGCAAAGGAAAGUUAAAACGCCAAAAUCUGGCUGAGGACAUAAAGAUGUCAGUCAAAAAUAGGAAUCGGGCCAUUGCGGAGUAUUACGAUUCAAAAAAAAAAGCAAAAAGAGGAAAUUGUUUUAAAAAAAAGAAAGUUAGAAUUAGAUAUUCUUGAGAAGGAAAGGAAAUUGGAAGAACAUAAAUAAAUUAUAAUAAAGUGUUUUAAAA